UCCCCGGCCCACCACGCGCCCCGCCCCUUGCGUCAUUCAGAAGGAGGCGCGCCCAGCCCUUCCGCGGUGACUGCAAGGACGGUUUCGCUCAGCCCAGGCUCGCACCUUCCUGCUCCCCGGGCCACCUUAGAGGCGAGACUCCGUCGCCUGGAUAUCGCAGGACCAUGGAGAAUCCCACCGGCCCUUGUUGAGUCAUUGCGGGCUGAGGAUCUGUUUCCUCAGUGCCUGGCAGGAUUGGCUCCCCUGCACGCCAUGUCUUUGUGAUCCCUUCCAGACAGAAACCAGGAGCGAAUAAAGUGCUGAUGCAGGAAGGCCCCUUCUCCAACCCUUGGUGCAACGUCUGACCUGAACCAGCUUCCCCAGCCCAGCAACACUGCUCCGCUAAUGUGGAUGUCAACCUAAAGAAACAAACUGAACCACAGUUCAUAUAGUUUGUCUGGGCCAAGGCUGAGAGAGCUGCCCAGGACACACCAAGUUGCCCUGGGAGUGCUUCAUUCAGCCUUAUUACAAGCAAGUUUUUAAAGACGGAAGGGGACAAGGAGUAGGCCGAUACGAAGUCAGCAGGAAUUCUGACUGCUUUCCAGAUAGAACCUUCGUGACUGGCUAUACAGUGUUGGACUACAGGGUAAGAGUUAUGGUGUCCAGCGUCUGGCUUUUUAUGUCUACUUGGCGUCAGUCUGGAACCCACAGAGCAAUUGGCUUCAAGAGGUCUUUAGCUCAAGUGGGAGUGACAUGUGACUGCUGUUUCAUUCCAGUGCCUCUCUGGACCACAUAAUUAAAGGGGGCUCGCAUUCCUCAGAUAAAAAGUUCCUUUUCUUUUGCAUGGACAUGAGCAGUGGGUCACUCAGGCAUGAGGACUCCUGUGGGUCUUCAGGGAGGGGUCUCAUCCCCCAGAACCCUAGGGAUGGGUGAUGUGUGUGUAGGAAUGGGGGAGCUGGUGCGCAGACAUGCGUGUCCCAUGUGUGUGCACACAUUGGGCCCCAUGGCUCUUUACAUCAGGUGGUAUCCACCGAAGGCCUUUGCUCUGUGGCCACUGUCCACCUCCACUUAGCCUCCCAAGUCCUCCAGGCUGGCUGGUGACACCUUGGGUUAGUGUGGGGUGACUGGUGUGUGUUGGGGAGCUGCAGGUCCCCUAUUUCUGACACAGGUGUGUCUGGGCAAACACCAAGUCUGUGGUUUGAAGGGAUGGGAGCCUGUGUGUAUGUGUGUGUGUGCAUGCGUGGCGUUUGUGUGGGUCUGUCUUUGAGUGUCACAUGUGCCUUUCUGUGUUUCUCUGUGAAUUUUCGUGUGUCAGGUUGUGUGUCCAUUGUGUGGGCGGAGAAACAGCUCUGCCGUGGGGCCUUGAGCCAUUGCAGGAUCCCCAUAGGCCACGCAGAGGUGCACACAGCAGCUGACCUAAGCCUGCUCCUCCCAGAACAUCAGGCUGCACCCAGGCCACUUCUCACUCCCUCUGUCUCCCGAGACUGUUCCUCACUGCCUGCCUCACUGGCCCUGGUGAGGGUGAGGCUCCCUGCCCCCGGCCCUCACAACAGAGCUACAGAUGAGGACGCCGCCCAGCUGCAGUCUCAAGGGGCUCCUCCACAGUGGGUGUCCCGCAACGCGUGCUUUCUGACCCCUUUUGUUUCGGUGCUGUCCUUUUUAGCGUGUGGCACCAGGACGGCAGGGAGCUGCCACCUCAGGCUUCUCUUAUUUUCACUCUGAGUAAUAAGCUCUGAAUGAGAGGGGCUCAUUGUGUCUUUACUGUCAAAUCAGUCAGGCCUUGGCCUUGGCGUGUCUUGCGUGUGCUUGACAAUGUAUUGCCCAUGGGGUCUGGUGGAGGCACAGCACCCUUUAAGAAGACAGGGUCUGUGUGGACCAGUUACGGGUGACAUUUCCUGGGCACAGCUCUUGCCUAAGUGGUGUGGGAUGGGAGGAGGGCGGGGCCUCCCACUGUCCCACCAGCAAAAUGGGCUGUGUGGCCAGCUCUUCAGGAGCCGAGAGCAUUUGCUCCAGGUUGAUAAAAUGUUGCGGUGUUGGGUGGCAAGAGUAGGAUUGAAACCAGCCACCCAGUUGGUGCUUUGUUACCAUCAGAAGUGUUUGCUGAGUCAAAGCAAAUGCCACUCACAACCGAGUGGGCUGAGUGCAGUGACUCACACCUGUAAUCCCAGCACUUUGGGAGGCCAAGGUGGGCAGAUGGCUUGAGGCCAGGAGUUCAAGACCAGCCUGGGCAAAAGGGCAAGAGCCUGUCUCUACAAAAAAUUCAAAAAAUUAGCUGGCGUAAUGGCAUGUGCCUGAAGUCCCAGCUACUUGGGAGGCUGAGGUGGGAUCACUUGAGCCCAGGAGGUCCAGGCUUCAGUGAGCCGAGAUCACACCACUGCACUCCAGCCUGGGCGACAGAAUGAGAACCAAAUAAUAAGUAAAUAAAUCCAUUCAUCCAUCCAUCCAUCCACCCCAGAGUGAGUCAGCCAGGGCUUGAGAAGGCAUGCCUGCUGCUGCGUUGCUCCUCCCUCACCCACAGGAUUCCCUGGUUCCAGCCAGGAGACAACGGUCAACAGCCACUGCUAUAGUGGUGCCUAGUUAAAACUCUGCUUUCUGUUUCUGUAAAAAAAAGUGUCUAAUUGAAUUUGGGCAAAAAACUUGCAGUGAAGAGAGAAAAAGAGAUGAAAGCAACCUGUGAGAGAAGCUCGGGUUGACGUGCGGCAUGUGCUGUUGUGUGAGUGUGAUGGGUGUGUUAGUUUGCACUGUAGAUGCUCAGGAAGUGAGGAUGUGUGGAGUGCUGACUGUAUACAUGACGCCUCCACUGGCCAGCCGAGUAGAGUUUCAUGAAACAAUGUUAGUGGACUCAGCCCUGAAUCCCUCAGGCAGUCAGAGAGCAACCUCUGUCUUUUUCUUUUUUCUUUUCUUUUUUUUUGAUUUGAGAUGGAGGCUCGCUCUGUUGCCCAGGCUGGAGUGCGGUGGCGCGACCUCGUUUCACUGCAACCUCUGCUUCUGGGUUCAAGUGAUUCUCCUGCCUCAGCCUCCUGAGUAGCUGGGAUUACAGGUGUGCACCACCAUGCCCGGCCUUCUCUGUCUAUUACAAAGUAAAGAACUUGAGGUUCCUCAUGCCAAAGCUGCAAAUCCUGUAAAAGCAGGUGUGUUUGUUUUGCAGAAAAGAGGCCACGUGCCACGUGGCUUUGCCCUGCAUGCUCCAGAGAGAUCCAUGCUGUUGGACCUUUCAUCUCCUCUCCUGGAGAUUGACCCAGUUAUAGUGCUCUUUGGAAAAACGACAGACGACUUCCAUCAUACAGUCUUCAGCAACCUUGAAAGAUUGGACAAGCUUCAGCCCACUCUUGAAGCCUCUGAGGAGUCUCUAGUUCACAAGGAUAGAGGAGAUGGAGAGACGCCGGUCAACGCGAGGCUCCCCAUGAGGACGCUGUACACGACAUCGAUAAUGAGGAUGCUGUAUACGACAUCACUAAUGAGGAUGCUGUAUACAAAUUCGCUAAUGAGGAAACUACAAGACAUCACUAAUGAGGACGCUGUAUACGACAUCGCUAAUAAGGAUGCUGUAUAUGACAUCGCUAAUGAGGACACUGUACAAGACAUCUGUAAAAAAGAUGCUGCUGCCAAGAAGCCAUCAACACUGGAGAAUGAUCUGUUUUUGGAGAGCGUAUCCGAUGAUGGGGAUUUGUAGCCUUCCCAAUAGGGCAACAUAAAAGCAGGAGCCCUGCUAGUCUCCCCUUAACCUGGAAUCCCCCCUUCUCCACAGCUCGCUCAUUGGACAGGAUAGACUGGGCACCCAGGCCUCAAGGGGCCGAAAGUUGCAGAGGUUUAGGAAGCUCGCCCACGAUACUGGAGCCCCCAUCUCCUGCCCUAGUGUUGUCCCCCUUCUCACCCAGCCACCACCUGUUUCAGGGGAACACACAGAAGUGGUAACCUCUUAUGGACAGGCAAGUAAAUUCUGCUGUUUUUGUUAUUCACAGAAAAAACACUGGCUUGUGUGGGUUGGGAAGGUGAAAUACCGGAAGUAUUUCAUCUGGUUAUUUCUACCUAUGUGAAUCCUAUAGUAUUGAAAUGCAUAGGUUAGCAUUUUUGGCCAAUUUACUCAGCAUUCUGGGUUAAAGGCUUUUAUUUAUUUGUUUAUUUGUUUGUUUAUUUAUUUAUUUUUGAGAUGGAGUUUUGCUCUUGUUGCCCAAGCUGGAGUGCAACGGCACGAUCUUGGUUCACUGCAACCUCCACCUCCCAGGUUCAAACUAUUCUCCUGUCUCAGCCUCCCAAAUAGCUGAGAUUAUAGGCACAUGCCACCACACCGGGCUAAUUUUUUUGUAUUUUUAGUAGAAAUGAGAUUUCACCAUGUUGGUCAGGCUGGUCUCGAACUCCUGACCUCAGGUGAUCUGCCCUCCUCGGCCUCCCAAAGUGCUGGGAUUACAGGCGUGAGCCACCACGCCCGCCCUAAAGUCUUUUAAAAUUCACUUGUAUAAGCUGACUUAGUUUUCUUUAACCUUGUAGAAAAAUACAAAAAUGGCAAUCUCUUUUAUCACACAAAUGUCUUUAAAUGGAGUGAUUUUUUUCUAAUUGAGGUAUUAUGUACUUUUCGUUUACUAAUUAUUGUUUACAUUUGAAGUGUUUGAUGAAUUAAUAUUUAAUUGCAUAGAUGAAGAUGACUAGUCAUAGGCAUUUUACUAACCAAUACUCAUUAAGCAUAGCACGGAUUCAUGUGAUGUCAGAGAGCUUUUUUAUUUGGUAAAACGAAAAAGCACAAGAAUGAACACAAGAACUGAAACAGUGGAGACACCUAGAAUGACUUGUCUAAGAUCUAAAUCAUUUUGUUGUCUUCCCAGUGUACUUGUUAUCCUGAUCAUUGUCAUCAGCAUUGUUUGGGUCCUUUUGGCACAGAUUUCUCAAAAUGGGCAACUCCGUAACAGUUGGAAGCUUACGGAUUCAUAUAAUUUGUAAGAGGGCAAUGUGGGCGUACCUAUCUACUUUAAAAUUCCAAUAACCUGGGAAUUUCAUCCCAUGUCUAGAGUCUUUUAUGUAAAAUAUUUCCACAAUUAGGAGAAAUAUGCACAUGGGGAUUUUCUAUGUAGCGGUGUUUUGAUAGAAUAGAAAAUUGGGAUAAACCAAAUUUCCAUCACGAAGGAAAUAGUAAUAUGCUGAAUAAUAAUACAGCGAAUAUUAUGCAGGCGUUAAACAUCAAAAAAGAGCUCAACUUCUGACUUCCAAUGAUGGUGUUGAAGUAGGUCACUCCUGGUUUACAUUUGAUUUUCAUGUGGGAACUCUGGAAGUCUGCCUUAGUGAUUUUACAUGUGGCUAAAUUUAGCUAAUGAAAAGCUAUUAGAAGUAUGGCAAAAUGGAACUUUUAAAACAGUAUCUUGUCAGCAACCAAGCGGACCUGUUUCGCGUAAAACCCACGCAUUCAUCUGCCUGCCCAUCAUUCUGUCUGUCCACACGGGCAUCAUUCAUUAGUGGAACUGAGUGCCCACUGUCAAGCUGACAAGCCCAUAACCUCCCUGUUCCUAGUCACACAUUAAUUCUUCCACAAGUCCCUUUUGAUAGAUUGUGACUAAGCUUAGCUACUAUUUCCAAUUGCUUCCCCAAACGUACUUCUCACUGUUCUCCCAUCACAUCCUUCAGCCCAUCCAUGAGGGGUUCCUUUGCUUUUCCCACCUUACACCAAACUCCCUAUUUUUACUCCCACUUUUACCUCCAAGACAAACAAAACUAGCAUUUUAUAACUUAGUUGUAAUUUUUCUUCCUUCAUGAAAAUUUCUCCAACAGCCACUCCCACAGUCCUGUGUGUUCCGGAUAUUUUAAAAUAUUGGCUAUAAGGCUGAGCACAUCAGGAUAUGCUGUUUUGCUGUGUGCAGAUGGAGGCAGUGGCUGGAGUGAAUGAACGACAACAAUUGCUGGCAACUAGCAGAAGCUGAGAGACAGGGAACAGGCUCUCCUCCAGAGCCUCCAGGAGCCAGGCCUUUGGACACCUUGAAUGUGGGCUUCUGGGAGACCAUGCGUUUCUGUUAUAAGCAACCCAGUCUCUGGCAGUUUUUACGGCUGCCACCGGAUGCUCAUCUACACCUGUCUGACAAGAUCAAGCUCCAAGGAAGGGAUUCUCUACAUAUCUACAUUGUUUGAAGAUUUUACAACAAUCACUUAUUCUUGCAUGGCUGAUCAUUGUUAGCCAAUACAAAUAAAAUAAUAAAGAAAUGACCCACAUUUUA